rnacentral:misc_RNA from 1 species
UAAACAAGAUUUGAUCUGUAAGCUGACAAAACUGUUGCUUCAAUAGAAGGGGAAAAAAAAUAAAUUACAUUCAAGUAUUUGAAUAUAGCUACUUAUCUUCAUGACUGCAACAUCAAUUAGACAUAUGAACAAAAAUUUUGCACAGCAUAGAAGAGGAAACCUAAUCUAUCCAGCCUACCCUGUUAAGCACAGCAACCACCGAAGAAGAAAGCAAAUUCUUCCUUAUAAUGUAGAAGGAAGCUUAGAAUUGUUGACGAUUCUACUAACGUUCAUGUGAUACAUACACAGCAGCAAUGGCACUUCCAUACAUUAUUUUCAGGAUAAACCUCAAAAAUCUAAAGAAAUUUAAAUGUGACUAGAAGGUACCCUACAACUACUUGUCUCAGCAAGAUUCUUCAAAACAUGAGGCAAACCAACAGUGCAACCACAAUUUUAUUUCAGCAAAAUAAGCUUUAUUAAGAACACACAAUAAACCCUAUUGUUAGUUUGCAAAGCCUAUAUAACAAAGGGCAAAAGGAAGACACAAAUAUAUGAGAAACCAGCUUUACUUUACUGUAUCAAAUGAUUAUUUUGGAAUCCAAUUGAACUAACAAAGAAGCCUACUGCUAAAGCCUAUAAGAAAACAGAGCAAUUUAAAAGAAACUCAUGUAUAGAUAUAGAAAUGAAAUAGGAAAUUGACGAAAGGUCGGAGAUGUAUUAACCUGAUUAUAGACAGAAUUGCAGCAACAUAAAUGAUCCAUAUAAUUCAGCCCUACCUUACCACCUUUCUCUUCCUCUCAGCAUCUACUUAUCUCUUCUAACCUCAAAAACCUCAACACUCACAAAAACCUCACUUAUAAGAUCAUCAAUUCCACAACUUGCGCCAUCAAAAACAGCAAUUAUAAUAAUCUAAACUACAAAAUCCAAUUCCAAAAACCACAAAAAUCCAACAAAUGCCAAAACAAAAGAGAAUCACCAACUGGGUAUUCAAGAAAUUCCCUUUCCAACCCACCAAACACCCAAUUCUACGUGAAAGAAAAAUAAAGAGUUGCCCAGGACUUGAAUUGCCAAUUCUCGAGUCCUACCUAUAUUUUAUAUUCAUAUACACAAACAAGUUAUUUGUAGAAAUUGAUGUCUAUUUAUAGAAGUAUAUAUCAGUAUUUAUUCAGAAAAAGAAUCAAUCUUUGAAGAAGAGAGACCAGGUAGAGUCUACGAGGGGCAAAGGAAUUGGCUUGCCAAAAGUUGAAGCUUGCCCCUAUUGACUUUUUGUUGGUUUGUGCUUGUUUUUGUUGUUUAACUAUUUUUUUUUUACUAGAUUAUUGUCUGGCACGA